rnacentral:rRNA from 1 species
AUGCACGCUGGCGGCGUGCCUAAUACCUGCAAGUCGAGCGAACGGACGAGAAGCUUGCUUCUCUGAUGUUAGCGGCGGACGGGUGAGUAACACGUGGAUAACCUACCUAUCAGACUGGGAUAACUUCGGGAAACCGGAGCUAAUACCGGAUAAUAUUUUGAACCGCAUGGUUCAAAAGUGAAAGACGGUCUUGCUGUCACUUAUAGAUGGAUCCGCGCUGCAUUAGCUAGUUGGUAAGGUAACGGCUUACCAAGGCAACGAUGCAUAGCCGACCUGAGAGGGUGAUCGGCCACACUGGAACUGAGACACGGUCCAGACUCCUACGGGAGGCAGCAGUAGGGAAUCUUCCGCAAUGGGCGAAAGCCUGACGGAGCAACGCCGCGUGAGUGAUGAAGGUCUUCGGAUCGUAAAGCUCUGUUAUUAGGGAAGAACAUAUGUGUAAGUAACUGUGCACAUCUUGACGGUACCUAAUCAGAAAGCCACGGCUAACUACGUG